rnacentral:rRNA from 1 species
GUCGAGCGGUAGCACAGAGAGCUUGCUCUCGGGUGACGAGCGGCGGACGGCCGAUUAAUGUCUGGGAAACUGCCUGAUGGAGGGGGAUAACUACUGCAUUCGGAAGCUAAUACCGCAUAACGUCGCAAGACCAAAGAGGGGGACCUUCGGGCCUCUUGCCAUCAGAUGUGCCCAGAUGGGAUUAGCUAGUAGGUGGGGUAAUGGCUCACCUAGGCGACGAUCCCUAGCUGGUCUGAGAGGAUGACCAGCCACACUGGAACUGAGACACGGUCCAGACUCCUACGGGAGGCAGCAGUGGGGAAUAUUGCACAAUGGGCGCAAGCCCGAUGCAGCCAUGCCGCGUGUAUGAAGAAGGCCUUCGGGUUGUAAAGUACUUUCAGCGGGGAGGAAGGGGGAGUGGUUAAUAACCACUUUCUUUUUUGUUACCCGCAGAAGAAGCACCGGCUAACUCCGUGCCAGCAGCCGCGGUAAUACGGAGGGUGCAAGCGUUAAUCGGAAUUACUGGGCGUAAAGCGGACGCAGGCGGUCUGGUCAGUCCGAUGUGAAAUCCCCGGGCUCAACCUGGGAACUGGCUCCCAAACUGGGAGGGUUGAGUCUUGGAGAGGGGGGGAGAAUUCCAAGGGGAGGCGUGGAAAUGCGAAUAGAUCCUGGAGAAAAACCGGUGGGGGAGGGCGGCCCCCCUGGACAAAGACCGGCCGCUCAAGGGGGAAAGGGUGGGGAGCAAAAAGGGAAUUAAAACCCCGGGAGUGCCCCCCCCAAAACCAAGGCGACUUGGAGAGGGGGGGCCUUUAAGGGGGGGCUUCCGGAAAUAAAACCUUUUAAUCCAACCCCUGGGGGGAACGGCCCCCAGGGGUAAAA